rnacentral:lncRNA from 1 species
AUGAUGCUGAGAAGCAGGGCCAUAGAUGCCAGGAGGGGUGGGGGGCAGCCCUGGCCCCGGAGCGGCUGCCAACAGGUGCUCGGCGUCUACGACAACUCGCUCACAGCAACCGCCCCCACCCGGGGCCUCGCGUUACAACGGGGCAGGGAGUUCCCUGAAGCCCUGGGAAGAUGGCCGAGUCGGGGCACAGGAGCAGAAAUGGAGGCCAGAUCCAAUCCAAGGCUGGUCCUUCAGUCCCUGUGUCAACCCCACUGCAUCCCUGAAAAACACUUACAGAACGUGGCUGUGAUUUCAUCCUCCCAAAUGCAAGUUGGAAGAUGGAACCCCGGCCCUAACCUGUGCCCAGAGCUGGGGGAGAGGCGGGUUUCUAAUCUGGGCCGUCACUGUAUGUGCCCUGUACUUGGACCAAGGUGCCGGAGAGUGAGGCCAAAGAGGUGGAAGACAACAGCAUUUCACAGAGCAAUGGUGGACAUUGACGUACGGGGCGGCAGGGCACGUGGACUGAGUCUGGCAGCUGUGAUGAAUUACCUGGAUGUGCGCACUGCCAUUGCCAGAACAUUCCUGCUGUUUCUGAGUCCAUCCCAAAAUAGGCAGAAGCCUCAGAGUUCGUCCAUCUCGCCCGACACCAACAGGGGAGCAAGGAUCGGAGGGGCCAGGUGCACAGAAGGUGAGCAGCGUGGAUAGUUCUGGAAAACCAAAGAAACUUCUUUUCAUUCAGGAAAGAAUCCUUCUCUCCAUCUCUAAAAAAAAGGACUUUCUAGUGAUAAAAGAAAGUUUCCAAUUGCCAAUAAUAAUGAGACAGAUUAAAGAACAUUCGCAAAGAUUGUCAAGGCAAUUGUAGUAAUGUCAAUAAAGGCUGGAAAUAAAGUCA